CUCCUGAGCAGUAGAAAAUGCCUCCAUCAGCCUUUAUGAACAUGUAAUCAGCAGUAUCCAGUCAUAAAAAAGCCUUAACACAAAAAGACUGUGCUGUUCCUGUUCUGCUAUUCUUAUGUAGCACGACAUCAGUUAUUCCUGCACAAAAACAGAGACAGCCUGCAUGUAUGCUGAGGAAUGGUUACUCUCCCAUCACAGACCUUUAUGGAUGCAUUGCCAAGAGGCUUGUUUCUAGAUGCAGAUGUGCACUGGCUGUGCAGACCCGUUGUGCAUUGAUAAAAACCUGCGUUGUCCCACCACAGCCCUGGCUACACCUCAGCAGACAAGAAAGGAUAUCUCCCCAUAAAGCCUUGGGGGACCCCGCACUGGAGAGCCUAGAGGUUUUUCCAGGACUUUCCCCUUGCUUCCUCCUGUCUUCUCUCCUCCUUCUCCCCCAAUCAUGGAGAAUUUCCAAUCUGAAUUGGAGCUCUGCAGCUGCCUACACUGUUGAAAACUGGCUGCACCAAACCUCCAGAUUAGAGCUGAGUGAAUAGAGUGUGCUGCCUCAGAGGUGCUGUGUGACUUCACUGCCAGUGCAAUUAAACAUUGACAGCAACCUCUGCAUGUGUCACAGGAGCUGCCCCACUCUGUGAUGGCUGCCAAAGAAGGAAGGAACAAGGGAGUGGGAAGAAAUUUAAUGAAAGGGAACAGCAGAAGAAGACUAAGAAAACAG
ensembl:lncRNA